rnacentral:lncRNA from 1 species
GACAAGAAACAACAAGAGUGGAUCCCGUAGAGUACUACGGAUGCGUAGGGGUGCUAAUACCUUCCCUUUGCAUAAUCGACUCCCGAACCCAAGAGUUGGUUGCGAGACCUUGUCUUUUCCUUUUCUCUUCAGGUUUACUUCGAGCGUUUCCUUUCCCUCCUUUGGGAUAAAUAACGCACGGUGGCGACUCUUCUGUCUUUUUCUUUCGCCGGUUGUUUUUUUGCACCUUCUGUAUUUUUCGGGUUGCGACAGCUGGCGACUCUGCUGGGGAGAUACUUCCCUAAGCGAGUCCCUCCUAGCUUUUGUAGAUUUCUUGUUUGUUGGGUGUUUAUGCUUUUGUACAUUCGUUUACUUUCCGCAUUUACCUGCUUUAUCUUUAUAGCAUUCAUGUACAUAUGCGUGCUGUAUCUGUGGGUUGUUUGUUUGUUGGGUUGGGACUGUUCUAUGAGAGAUAAGCCCACUACCCAG